GUCCCUAUCGUCUAGAGGCCUAGGACAUCGCCCUUUCACGGCGGUAACACGAGUUCGAAUCUCGUUGGGGAC
rnacentral:tRNA from 1 species